AAAUUGAAGAGUUUGAUCAUGGCUCAGAUUGAACGCUGGCGGCAGGCCUAACACAUGCAAGUCGAACGGUAACAGGAAGCAGCUUGCUGCUUCGCUGACGAGUGGCGGACGGGUGAGUAAUGUCUGGGAAACUGCCUGAUGGAGGGGGAUAACUACUGGAAACGGUGGCUAAUACCGCAUAACGUCGCAAGACCAAAGAGGGGGACCUUCGGGCCUCUUGCCAUCAGAUGUGCCCAGAUGGGAUUAGCUGG
rnacentral:rRNA from 1 species